rnacentral:rRNA from 1 species
AUUGAACGCUGGCGGCAUGCUUUACACAUGCAAGUCGAACGGUAACAGGCCGCAAGGUGCUGACGAGUGGCGAACGGGUGGGUAAUGCAUCGGAACGUGCCCAGUCGUGGGGGAUAACUACUCGAAAGAGUAGCUAAUACCGCAUACGAUCUAUGGAUGAAGUCGGGGGACCGUAAGGCCUCGCGCGAUUGGAGCGGCCGAUGUCAGAUUAGGUAGUUGGUGGGGUAAAGGCUCACCAAGCCAACGAUCUGUAGCUGGUCUGAGAGGACAACCAGCCACACUGGGACUGAGACACGGCCCAGACUCCUACGGGAGGCAGCAGUGGGGAAUUUUGGACAAUGGGCGCAAGCCUGAUCCAGCAAUGCCGCGUGCAGGAAGAAGGCCUUCGGGUUGUAAACUGCUUUUGUACGGAACGAAACGGCUCUGGUUAAUACCCGGGGCUAAUGACGGUACCGUAAGAAUAAGCACCGGCUAACUACGUG